rnacentral:rRNA from 1 species
UUUUUGUAUAUAAUAUAAAGUCUAGCCUGCCCACUGAAAUUUUUGAAGGGCCGCAGUAUACUGACUGUGCAAAGGUAGCAUAAUCAUUUGCCUUUUAAUUAAAGGCUGGAAUGAAUGGCUGAACGAAGUGUAAACUGUCUCAUUUUUAUAAUUUAAUAACUUAGCUUUUUAGUCAAAAGGCUAAAAUUUCGUUGAAGGACGAGAAGACCCUAUAGAACUUUAUAAUUUUAUAUUUAUUAAAUUUUAGUAAAACAAUUUUUAUUAAAUUUGAAUUUAUUUUGUUGGGGUGACAGGAAGAUUAAGUUAACUCUUUUGAUUAUAAAACAUUGAUUUAUGAAUUUUUGAUCCAUUAAUAAUGAUUAAUAGAAUAAGUUACCUUAGGGAUAACAGCGUAAUUUUAUUGGAGAGUUCAUAUCGAUAAUAAAGUUUGCGACCUCGAUGUUGAAUUAAAGAGAUUCUUAAGUGCAGGAGCUUAAGGUAAUAGGUCUGUUCGACCUUUAAAUCUUUACAUGAUCUGAGUUCAAACCGAAGGGCA